AGUGAACGCUGGCGGUAGGCCUAACACAUGCCAGUCGAACGGCAGCACAGUAAGAGCUUGCUCUUACGGGUGGCGAGUGGCGGACGGGUGAGGAAUACAUCGGAAUCUACUUUUUCGUGGGGGAUAACGUAGGGAAACUUACGCUAAUACCGCAUACGACCUACGGGUGAAAGCAGGGGAUCUUCGGACCUUGCGCGAUUGAAUGAGCCGAUAUCGGAUUAGCUAGUUGGCGGGGUAAAGGCCCACCAAGGCGACGAUCCGUAGCUGGUCUGAGAGGAUGAUCAGCCACACUGGAACUGAGACACGGUCCAGACUCCUACGGGAGGCAGCAGUGGGGAAUAUUGGACAAUGGGCGCAAGCCUGAUCCAGCCAUACCGCGUGGGUGAAGAAGGCCUUCGGGUUGUAAAGCCCUUUUGUUGGGAAAGAAAAGGAGCAGGUUAAUACCCCGCUGUUCUGACGGUACCCAAAGAAUAAGCACCGGCUAACUUCGUG
rnacentral:rRNA from 1 species